rnacentral:rRNA from 1 species
UAAGUAGAUGAUUAUUUAUAUAUUAGUAGUAAAAGGUGAAAUUAGGUUGCUACUGUGUAUAUACUUUAUUUAAGUUAAUUGAAGCUAGUAAAUUUUAAUUAUAGACUAGGAUUAGAUACCCUAUUAUUUUAAAAUGAAUAAUAAAAGAACUGAUUAGUGUUAGAUAUAUGCUUUAAAAUUAAAAGAUUUGGCGGUAGUUUAAUCUUGUUAGAGGAACUUGUUUUUGAAUCGAUAAUCCACGUAUAAUCUUACUUAUUUUUGUAUAGUAUUUCAGCUUGUAUACCAUCAUUAUCAGGUAAUUCUAAAAGGAUGAAUUUCUUAGUUUAAUUGUUUAGUAAAAUUAGAUCAAGGUGCAGCUUAUGAAUAAGUUAAAAUGAGUUACAAUAAAUUAUUUUAUAACGGAAUAAAAAUAUAAUUGUUUUAUGAAGGGGGAUUUAAUUGUAGUGGAUGGAUUAAUAAGCAUUCGCGAAAUAAGCUCUAAACUAUGUACAUAUCGCCCGUCGCUUUCAUUCAUAGAU